rnacentral:rRNA from 1 species
GAUGAACGCUGGCGGCGUGCUUAACACAUGCAAGUCGAGCGAGCUGAAUUCAAAGAUUCCUUCGGGAUGAUUUGUUGGACCCUAGCGGUGGAUGGGUGAGUAACACGUGGGCAAUCUGCCCUAAAGACUGGGAUACCACUUGGAAACAGGUGCUAAUACCGGAUAACAACAUGGAUCGCAUGAUUCAAGUUUGAAAGGCGGCGUAAGCUGUCACUUUAGGAUGAGCCCGCGGCGCAUUAGCUAGUGGUGGGUAAAGCCUACCAGGCGAUGAUGCGUAGCCGAGUUGAGAGACUGAUCGGGCCACAUUGGGACUGAGACACGGGCCCAAACUCCUACGGGACGGCAGCAGUAGGGAAUCUUCCACAAUGGGACGCAAGUCUGAUGGAGCAACGCCGCGU